GGCAUUUGACGAAUUAUAAACUUGGGAUAAUACAAAGUAUUUUACAUGGAAAUUAUGAUGAUUAAAUAAGAUAAUGUUAUGUGGAAUGACACAGCACCGGCUGACAUGCAAUAAACGUUAAAUGUCUUCCUUUUAAUCAAAGACCUAAUGACCAGGAUGAAAGUAUCGGACACUGGAUGUUAAUAGAUGAAGGGGGAUCUGCUUAGUGUGACUGGCCUUGUCUGAACUUAUUUGCAGAAAGUCAAAUCAAUCACGAUGAGGUGGAAGACCAAGACCCAAUAUGCCCCAGUGUCUUUACAGGAGAGCUGCCAUCUUCUCAUGUGAAGAAAUGGAAGUGUGUUCUGCUCUGGAUGUAGCCAAAAAACAUACUGAUCUUGAGGAGGAAGAAGACCAAGUCCGCAUAUAUGUUCCAGAGCUGAGUUUGAUGCUUACCUUGGAAUGAAGAAUGCUCCCAAGCUGGAGGGUGAUUGUCUUGAGGGCUCAGCUGCCAGCAAGCAUAGAUGUCAAGUCAUUGGCCACAUUAAUUUCUUAAGAGACCUGAAACAGAGGAUUAUCAAAAGAAAAUUCCAGCUCAGCAAGUGGAGACUAGCAUGCAGAUUCCCUGGCCUUCAAGCUUAGGGUCCAGAGAUACCAAGUACUUCUGGAAUUAAGAAAAAAUAUUACUGAUUUGAAAGAAACUGCCUCAUAAAAAAUAGCUUCUCCACUUGAUGAAAAAAAUCUAAAACAGCAAAUCAAGUGAAAGCCCAAAUGGACCACUGGAGGGAUCCUUUACAGAGAGUCAACAUCACAACCACAAAAAAUUCUCCACAAUUUUUACUCCAAAAAACAGGUGUGAUGGGAGAAAUCCCAGCCCUUCAGCCUCCAAUUGUGCUAUAUCGCUAAGGGGACAAAAGCCUAGAUCCACACAGUUUUGAGAGUCCAUCACCAAAAUCAGGAGCAACUGGAAAAAGACAACAUGAGGAACUGGACGUUCUUUGCCACCAGCAGGGCUGUGCUAGGAGCAGACAGCAUUAACUGUGCGGAGGUCUUGUUGAGAAUGUUUAGUCUGAAUUUAAUCGUGAGGUCAUUAUCAGACAACGGCAGAAUUUAGACCGCUGAACAAGUCAACUGGCCUGUCUUUCUUCAAACAGUCAAUGUUACCACAAGUAAGACGACAAAAAGGAGAAGAGAUAUGUUGGGAUCCAAAGGACUGAAAAGAUUAUGUUACUAUGUUUCUUUAGUCCUUUUGAGCCGAAGACGUUCCUCACCUUUUUGUGAUUGCCUGCGGUGGUGGUGACGUUGCCUUGUUUGUAGAGGACAGGUCAGUCGUCUGGCUCAAUGGUCUACAUUCUCAAGUUGUCUGACCAUUUCCUCAUGAUUAAAUUCAGGCUCACACUUUUGCCGAGAACACUUCACAGUUAAUGCUGUGUGCUUCCUAGCGCAGCCCACCCAGAGACCAGAAUGACCAGUUUAUCCACCACCAUUACUGUGAGAACAUUGAUCACUUUGUUAUGGAGGGGCCUAGGAGAUCUGUCCAUUGUAAAGACACAUUUUAUUCUUUCUAUAAUCAGUAAUUUGGGGAAAGGUACUUUGAGAGUGUGUGAAUAUCCUCUUCUCUAAAGAUCUUUUUCUAAAACUUUUACCAUCCAUUCAUGAUCCCUGCUGUGUGUCGAUUGUCAUAUUGGUGUUCGCACAUUGGAGAUCUUCCAAUUUUAUCAUUCCUAUAUACAUGUAUUUGCUGGCCUUGUGCUGUGGAAAAGAACAUUCCCUCCCCCUUCCGUAUCAUUAACAUUUUUGUUUUGACUAUCAAUGUGGAAUCAUGGAUUUUUUACAUUCAAAACUAUAAUCCAUUAUAAUCAUGAUAUAUUUUGGUGGAUAUGGCUAAAAAUCAAUAUAAAUAUUCUUGUUUCUCCUGUUCAUAUUUAUAUGCUAAAGUUUCCUAUGUAAAUAAAAUUUCCUCCGUCAUCUCUUGUUUGGUGGAGCCCAUCCUUAAAAGACUUCUUGUGAUGGAGUCAGGACUCCCUGAGUGUUGAGUAUUUAAUACUCUUGUUCUACUGCCUUGAUGCAUGGACAGCUUGGUGGAAUAUAAAGUACUUGCCCACAAUGGCUUUUAUUGAAUUUUGAUAAAAUAUUGUCUUGCUUUGUGUGUUCUAUUGAGUUGUAGAAAGUAAAUUGAUUUUCUCUGUAUUGUAUGUGAAUUGGGUUUUUGGGGGGUGUGGGGACAAGGCUGGAACUUCUGAGGACCUUUUUU